AUUGAACGCUGGCGGCGUGCAUGAGACAUGCAAGUCGAACGAGUACCGGGCUUGCUCGGUGCUAGUGGCGGACGGCUGAGUAACGCGUAGGUGACCUACCCCGAAGUGGGGAAUAACUGCCCGAAAGGGUGGCUAAUACCGCAUGUGGUCGCACCUUCAUUGGUGCGAGUAAAGCCGCGAGGCGCCUUGGGAGCGGCCUGCGUCCGAUUAGCUAGUUGGUGGGGUAAUGGCCUACCAAGGCUGCGAUCGGUAGCUGGUCUGAGAGGACGAUCAGCCACAAUGGGACUGGGACACGGCCCAGACUCCUACGGGAGGCAGCAGUGGGGAAUAUUGGACAAUGGGCGCAAGCCUGAUCCAGCAAUGCCGCGUGUGUGAAGAAGGUCUUCGGAUUGUAAAGCACUUUCGGCGGGGACGAUGAUGACGGUACCCGCAGAAGAAGCCCCGGCUAACUUCGUGCCAGCCGCCGCCGUAAAAC
rnacentral:rRNA from 1 species